AACCUCGGAAAUGCCUUCAAUACUGGCUGUCUUGAGUACGGGAGAGGUGAGUGGAACUCCGAGUGUAGAGGUGAAAUUCGUAGAUAUUCGGAAGAACACCAGUGGCGAAGGCGACUCACUGGCCCGUUACUGACGCUGAGGCGCGAAAGCGUGGGGAGCAAACAGGAUUAGAUACCCUGGUAGU
rnacentral:rRNA from 1 species